rnacentral:rRNA from 1 species
AUACGUAGGGUGCGAGCGUUGUCCGGAAUUACUGGGCGUAAAGAGCUCGUAGGUGGUUUGUCGCGUCGUCUGUGAAAUUCCGGGGCUUAACUCCGGGCGUGCAGGCGAUACGGGCAUAACUUGAGUACUGUAGGGGAGACUGGAAUUCCUGGUGUAGCGGUGAAAUGCGCAGAUAUCAGGAGGAACACCGGUGGCGAAGGCGGGUCUCUGGGCGGUAACUGACGCUGAGGAGCGAAAGCAUGGGUAGCGAACAGGAUUAGAUACCCUGGUAGUCCAUGCCGUAAACGGUGGGCGCUAGGUGUAGGGGUCUUCCACGACUUCUGUGCCGUAGCUAACGCAUUAAGCGCCCCGCCUGGGGAGUACGGCCGCAAGGCUAAAACUCAAAUGAAUUGGCGGGG